AAGAUCAUACUUUUAGGGAUCAUUUCUAUAGUAUGUAUCGCCGGGACGUCAGAUAAAUCUGACUGGACCUAAACCCACGAUGAAGAGAAAUAGCGUUUUCUUCUGAGCGUGAAGCUGACCGUCUGAGACUGUCUCUAGCAUGGUGAGACAUGGUCUUCGGUCAUUGAUGACCGUUCCUCUCCCUCCUAAGUGGGGAGUUGGAGGAAGAAAACGCAUUCUGAGUGGU